GCACAUUUAAAAAAAUGACACAUUUAUUCAGCGUCAUGAUCAGACUAUUACAUUUAACAAUCAACAGCAUGGGCGCAAAAAAAAAAAAAAUCUACAUUAAAACUCUUUGCCCGUAUUUUAAUUGAGUUAUUUGUCUUUACAUUAUUGUGUUGAUACAGUUCUUUAUAUACUCAAGGGACACAUAUAUGAUUUGCACCUAUUCUCUUCAUACUGUGGGCUAUAUUUUUGCUUUUUUCUUUGAAGCACAAAAGUUUUUAAUUUUAACGGUGUCCAAUUUAUUUAUGUUUUCUUUUGUUGCUUGUGUUUUUGGUGCCGUAUCUAAGACAACAUUGCCUAACAGAAGGCCGUGAAGAUGUGUUUUCUUCUAAGAGUUCUGUGGGUUUAUCGGUUUAUCUUUUACAUUUAGGUCUUCGACUGAUUUUGAGUUAACUUUUGUAUAUGGAAUGAGCUAGGGGUCUAGCCCUACCUUACAUUCAUACCUAGUCACUGUGGGUUUAUCAGGGACCACCCGCCCUGCACAGCUGUGUCCCGCAGUUGAGGAGCGGGUGUCAGAAGGACAUAAAGACUCUUGAUUUCGGGGAAAACAAACACCUGCAUACCCGAAGCAAGAGCACGCUGGAGCUGGCGUCUGAACCCCUGGCCGGAGCCACGGCCCUCCUGCUCACACACUGAGCAGCCUUGGGCGGAUCACUGAAUCCCUAUCUAGGGCUCGCUUGCCUCACCUGUGAAAGGGGAGCUAAUUGGAAUAUGAACCCACGGGGCACGCGGGCAGCUCAGUCAAGCAGCCAACUCUCAAUUGGGGCUCAGGUCAUGAUCUCACGGUUCAUGGAAUCAAGCCCCAUGUCAGGUCUGUGCUAUUAGCCUGGAGCCUGGA